AGUGAACGCUGGCGGUAGGCCUAACACAUGCAAGUCGAACGGCAGCACAGUAAGAGCUUGCUCUUACGGGUGGCGAGUGGCGGACGGGUGAGGAAUACAUCGGAAUCUACUUUUUCGUGGGGGAUAACGUAGGGAAACUUACGCUAAUACCGCAUACGACCUACGGGUGAAAGCAGGGGAUCUUCGGACCUUGCGCGAUUGAAUGAGCCGAUGUCGGAUUAGCUAGUUGGCGGGAUAAAGGCCCACCAAGGCGACGAUCCGUAGCUGGUCUGAGAGGAUGAUCAGCCACACUGGAACUGAGACACGGUCCAGACUCCUACGGGAGGCAGCAGUGGGGAAUAUUGGACAAUGGGCGCAAGCCUGAUCCAGCCAUACCGCGUGGGUGAAGAAGGCCUUCGGGUUGUAAAGCCCUUUUGUUGGGAAAGAAAAGCAGCAGGUUAAUACCCCGCUGUUCUGACGGUACCCAAAGAAUAAGCACCGGCUAACUUCGCG
rnacentral:rRNA from 1 species